CCGCCCCGCCCCCGACCUUGCCCGCAUGCCCCUGACUCAGGUGUUCGUGGGCAGCGGGGAUAGACGCUGACCCUGCGGGUGACCUCGCCCCACACGCCCCUGGACUAAUAUUAGCAGCUUGACAGCGGUCAAACCUAUCAUCAGCUCCUCCUCCAAACUGAAAAGUUAGGAGUGGCCCGGGCCCUGGCCCGGGCUGGAGAUAUCCCACACUGUGUGUUUUGGGGCCCCCUGCCCUGCCUGAGCCCCAGCCCGGCCUCCCGCACCAGAAACCCGGAUCUGGUGGGCCGAGGGGAGGGGCGGCCCCCGGGACUGACAAGCGCAGCUGUCCUGCGGUGACGCCUGGAAUCUGGGUUCCUUUGGCCAAGAACCAGGUCUCCUUUUCUUUGAGGCUUUCUUCAGUCAUUUGUUCUUUCUUCUGAGGCCACUGGGCAGGUUUUUGGGGUUUUUUUCAAUCUGAGGUGCUCUACCACCUUCAGGUAGGGUCUCCUUAUUUUGCCCACCCUGGGCUAGAACAGGCAGUCCUUCAGCCUCACCCUCCCAGAUUCCAGGCAUGUACUGCCACGCCUGGAUAGGUCAGAUCUGGAGAGGCCUCAUCCUGAAAACCAUCAGGCUCUGGCCUUACCUGAUGGGAGACCAGCUAGCUGCGCCCUGAAAUCCUUGCCAGCUCCCCAACAGCUGAACUACAGUAAAAGUAACAUUUAAAGAGAACUUCUUCAAAAACGUCCAUCUGGUCCACCUCCAGAUGAGCGAUCCUCAAAGGAGAAGGGGAGCGCAGAGCUUGAUUUGUAAAAUCAGGUUUCAUUUAGUAACGUACUUUUCAGAAAACCAUGUCGUUUUUAACACAGACCCAUAUAAAUAUAUAAAGAUUGAAAUUCUUGGGUGGUAAUGCACCUGCUUGGCAUGUUGAGGAAAUCCAGGCCUGGACGUUCUACCGCGUCUCUUUGGGUCAAGUGAGAUCAUUUAAAAAGCGAACACCGGACAGAAUGGAGCACAGCACUGCAGACAUUUCCUUACCGAAAUGUGCUUCGGGGUUUAUGCCGUCAGCUAAAUUGAGAGAUGAUAAAGAAACUCCCCCCAGCACAUCCCUGGGAGAUGGGCAAGCGGCUCCAUCUUCUGCAGUCUCCACGUGAGGAUCUGGGAGACAAACAUCACUGGGUUCCCUAACCCAGGAAGAACAAAGCUUUGCUAGACAGCUUGGUUGCCAUCUUGAAUUUCCUUGAAUGAUGCAACCUUGGAGCCAGCUACCUAUAGAUUGAAACCUCUACAGACUAUGAACCAAAAUAAUAAACCUUUUCUCCUAGAGUUGUGAGUGUCAGAAACAAGACAGUAACUAAGACACCAGUCCUGGCUGAUGCAGAGCAACAGUAACAUUGGUUUAGUGUAUGUGAAAGUUAGACAAAGUGGAUUGAGGAGCUAGAGUUGGUAUUGGUUGGAAGUUAUAUAGUAGGGUUUUCACAUGAUCACAAACACUGGAUUGUGGCACACAAUAAGCAAUUGUGGGCCAAAUAGACAAACAGAAUCUAAGAAAACAUUUAGAGCACCACUUAAAGAAUAUAUAGAAAGGUUUUAAUAUUGUAUACAAAUGCAUAAAUAAUAUGUAAUACAUGUCUCUGGCACACAUGCACACAUACAUAUGUCUGUCCCCGAGGGUCUGAAGGCUGUCUGUAGCUAAAGUUAAGGCUGAGAAGCCAGACCAAGCUAAGCCAUGCUUCACAAAUUCUAGGAUGCUUCAGAAUCCACUGGAAGGCUUGGUACAAUGGGUUCUGGCUUCCACACCCAGAAUUCCUAAUUCAGUAGGCCUGGGUGAGGCCCAGGAAUGUGCAUUUCUUGUAAGUUCCCAGGGGAUGCCAGAGCCCUAGGGCUCACAGGACCGCCAUACAUCGAAUGCCUCUUCUGCAGUCUUCCGAACCUGAUGGGAAGAACCCUCUGGAGUUCCUGAAGGAUUGACGGGACACAAGUGAUGAAACAUGCUGUCAUGGGACAGAUAUCACAGCUGUGCAGCCUUGCACACAGGCGAGGCAGGGCACGCAGCAGCUGAGGAAGCUGGGGUCGAUCCCAGCCCCAAGAUGAGGAGAAGAGUAAAAGAAAUCCAAGCGUGGCAGAUGGUACAAAAUGCCAUGAUAGGAAUGUGCAUGGUUUGACCACCUUCUUUGCUCUGUGUGUGUAUGCACCUGUAUGUGUGUGUAUGCGUGUGUGUGCAUGUAUGUGUGCAUGUGUGCAUGUGUGUGUGUGAAUGAGUCCGAUGCUCUCAGAGCACGGAGGCUGGGAGUCAGGUGACCUUGCAGAGUCACAGCCUGCAAGUCUUUGUCCAAACAGCAGAGCCCAGGAAAUGUGCGUGUGGCAGCUGGUAGGGGCUUUAGGGUUGGGGCUUAUGAUGUCUGUGGGGAUUUCACGACGCUGAGUGUAGGGAAGAGUGAGCUCAUUUAUACAUGUGGUGAAUCUUCUGCUAGACUGGGUUGUAUACCAUAUAUACUCAGUGUCUGAGGCUCUCAACAUCCAGUGUUGAAAUCCUGCUGCUGUUUUUGGGGAUCAGGAAGGAGUGAGUGUUGGAGAGGGUGAUGAGAGGUGUCCUCAUGUGGAAUCGGUGUCCUUGCAAGAGAAGGAGGCGGCAAGGAGCUCUGCCUCCGCUCUCCACCGAGAAUCCACCCAGGGGGCCGUGGGCAAACAGGAAAGGGACCCCUCUGACACCGAGUCCGCCUGGGCCCCCAGAGCUGCGAGGGACACCUGCAUGAAGCCGCCAGACUGGUGAUUGUUCCAGCAGCUCAAACUAAACGCACUAAAACAUUUCCACACAGACCUAAUGGGAAACAGGAAGAGACUUCUCCCACAAUGCUAAUGUACACGUGUGCUUAGUAAAAUCACAUUCUAGAGAAGCUUCCUUAAUUUUAUAGACACCCCGGUAGGUUCUGUUUUGAGUUAAUGUUCAGCCAGGCCUUUCCCCCUCAAAGAAUCCAAAUUUACUUUUGGCAAAAAUCCAAAAUAGGCCCAAGGAGCUGGCAUCUGGGCAGUGGCAGGGCAUCUCCAGGGGCUGCCCUCCAGCCUCGGUUCCUGCGCCUUCCUCCACCUUCAGAACCCCCUUCCUGCCUCAGUUUCCCACUGAAGGACCCUGUGAUUCUGCUGGGUCCAACUCAAUGAUCCAGAAUAGCAUCCUUACUUUAGGGUCCACUGAUUCCACCUGCAAGCUCAAUUCCCCUUUAACAUGGGAGAACUUCUUGGCAGAAGUUUCAGCAGCGCUGUGCACUGACCGCUAUGUGGCAGGAGGUAUUCCAGAUGUCGCCUUAAGCGAUCGCGCACCGGGGCCUGUGGGCCGCCCCUCCAGGCAGUCACUGCCCAAAGCAGUGCACUGGGACUUAGGCUCCCGCAGUCACACAGCUUCUCUGUCCAUCUGACUCUGUUACCGGGAGGACACCUGGGUGCCUUCUAGCACCUCGUUUGGCAACAGCGGUAAACCCCCUCACCAACAGGGAAUGGAGGGUCCAAGGUCUAGCCUUCUUGACAAUGGUGAAAAUCUGCAUCAUGGCCAUGAGGAAGACAAAAGGAGAUAGAGUCGGAUGGAUUAUUUAUUAUUUUUUGGUUCCGAGGAUUGAACUCAGGCCCUCACACUGUACUACAGCCUUCUUUUGUAUUAUUUAUUUUGAGGUUCUUGUUAAAUCGCUAAGUUGCCCAGGCCAGACUGGAAUUUGUGAUCCUUCUGCUUCAGCCUCCCGGAGUGCUGAGGAGAAAAAAUCAAUUUAUGAAGAGAAGCAUGUUACCUGGGUUCACAGUUCUGAGGUUGUCACCAAUGCUGGGGCCCUGAGUCAGAAUUACAGGGUGCUGAGGAGCACAGAUUGGAGGAGAGAGCUCCUGGCCAGGGAGGAAAAGUGAGGAAGGAGGAGACCCAGUUCCCUAAGUUACCAGCCACAGUGGAAGCCACAUGACCAAGGACCUCCCCUGGGCCCUGCCCUUCCAGCCCCAUCUCCCCCAGCCCUCCCGCCAGCUGGCUGGGGACUCAGCUUUCAGCACUGGGCCUUUGGGGACGCUCCGCUCCCAACCAUAGGAGUCAUUACUGUGUUUUGUGUUCUGAACGUUAAGCACCUCUGCGUUUAUGCUUCCAUUUGUAUGGUACGGGUAUCUGGGGUAAUCUUCUGUGUGAGAAUCGCUUUCGUUUGUCACAGAUUGCGCAUCCUGGUUUGGUUCUGUGGUGCUUGGGAUGCAACUCAAGCUUCCGUAUCUUGUCUUUAUUCUGCGUUAUGCUGAAGAAAAUUGUCAUUUUAUUUUCUUUUUAAUCCAAAGACUUGCUUCAUAGAAUAUCUUUAAAUUCUCAUCAAAACAUAAUGUUUUCUUUGUAAGUUGAUUUUCUCUCCUCUGGGAGACUGAGGCAGGAAGAUCACAAGUUUGAGCUAAGCCUGAGCAACUUAGCAAAUUCACAAGAACUUCUCUCAAAUAAAAAACAGAGAGGGCUGGGAUGUGGAAUUUUUAUACUUAAGAAUGUCCACUCUAAUGUCUAGUUUUGUUGCAUUACAAUCAGAGAAUGUUGUUUGCAUUAUUCUGUUCUUUAGAAUUGUUGUAGUUAGGGGUUGUACAAUGAGAAUCAGGAUGUGGAGUUUAUAAUAUUGUUUUAUGAUGGUCACCCAGACCAUCAUAAAACACAAGAAAAUGCAGGAAAUUUAUCCACAGCACCAAAGACAUAGAAUAUCCAGGCUUGGAUCCCACAGCAGUGUCCCACUUGAGUCCAGAUGAAGACCUACAGCUCAUGACAAUGCCUUCCACAAGUCCAAUUGGAGGUCCAGAGCCCACAAGAAGGACUCACGCCAGUCUCUUUUACGGAUCCGUGUGGGGAAGACCCAAGGGUCAGCGGUUGAAGCCAGAAAGUCUAUGCCAGCGGGGUGAAGGAGCUGUGCUGGUAGGUUGAGGGUUCUAUGCUGGAGCUGAGAAGUCACAUUCACAACAAAGACCAGGGCUGUCCUGAAGGCACCACAGCUGUCCUCAACGACACGGAGGGCCCGAGCUCUUCCCACAACAGGCACAGUCAGGUACAUGCCAGGAAGCAGCGUGACGAGUUCAUCCUGGAGACCAAACAGCACAUGUCUUCCCCUUCAGAGCCAAGAAGCAAUGCCCAAUGUAAGGAUCAGAGCUUCUCCAGGAGAACCAACGGCUCAAACAGCAACUCGUAGGAGAACCUACAAUGCCUCAACGCCUCAGUGCAACAACGCAUUAAUGCCUUUCUUCUCUUUCUCCACCUCUGUAUUUAUGCAGGCAACUUUCCUCAGGUGGAGCAUCUACGCUCAGUGCCAUGCUGAUGUAAUCCAGCUGGUAUUAAAUUGACCACCAGUUCUUAAUCCAUAACAAGAAUUCUUCGAGUUUCUUUGUGGUUUAAUAUAAUGUCCCAUAUCUACUUAAAAGAAAAAUAACUGCAUAAUAUAUAUAACUUGAAAUUGUCUUAUAGGCUAUAUUAAGUUUUCUUCUCACUUAACAGUGAACAGAAAGCCAAAAUUAUAACCAGGCCAUGGCCCACGCCUGUAAUCCCAGCACCCAGGAGGCUGAGGUAGGAGGAUCACUGUGAGUUCAAGGCUGGCCUGCACUACACGGUGAAACCAUGUUUCAAAAAUACCCAAAAAAUGAAGAAAUAAAAUAAUGAAAACCAAAAUUAUAAGCCACUAGAGGAAAGUCUCUAACAUGGAAAAUAAAGAUCCAAAGACAUUUGAAAGGAACUAUUCCACAGGAAGGAACCAUUCCCAUAUCCUCCCCCCUCAAAAAAAAAAAAGGGAAAAAAUUACUACAAUGAUAUAUUCAGAGAAAUAAGAAAGUGUGUCUCUGAAACAAAAAUAGAGGUUAUAAAAAAAGAAAUAUUCUCAAAACACAGAAGAGUGCUUAGGAACGAAACUUACACAACAGAGAGGAAAAAUCAAUAGAAAGAAGGAAAUCUGCAGAUUGGAACACAGGAAAAGGAGACCGAGGACCGGAAGGGAAGCUGAUGUGCUUAGAUCAGAAAGCUUCCAGCUCUCCGGUACUAAGAAGCCCUUCACUGGGUGAGCUGCGGGGAGGAUUCCUGGUGCUAGAGUUUGCAGGGCUGUCCCACAAGGCCCCCACCCGAAGACCCUCCAGUCCCUGCUCACCUAUGGUCAGGACUCAGAAAAUAUCUCCCCUCUAGCUAAGGAGCUCUGCCACGCCCAACCCCACCCCAGCCUUUCACGCUGACAGAUUAACCACAUAGGCUAGGGAAAGGCUGACUGACCCCUUCUGAAUCAACAUCUAUAAAUAACCAGUUUUAACGCCGGCAGCAGGGCUUUAUAAAAUAAAUUUAAAAUAUACUUCCAAAAUUUUUUCAGUAGUAUCAUGUUUAGGGCUUAAAAAAAUUUUUUUUAAAAAUUCAAUACAAUAGUCUGUGACUAUACCAGAAUUGAUUGCUCCCGGUAGAAAAUUCAGAUGAGGCUGGGGAGGUCAAGUGCCUUUGACAUCUCUCUGCCAUCCCCUGCAGCUCGGCUCUGGAUAAUUAGGAUUCUCAAGUAGCUAAACCCUCCCCAAGUCUCCUUGGAGCCUUCCCCACUGGACCUGACUUUUGGAGUAGUGCGCUGGUCUCCACAUUGCCCAGGUUUAGCAGGCGCCCUGCGGAGUGGGACGGCUGGGUCUGAUCCCACAUUCUCCACAUCUGAUCAGGCUCAGCCCUGACCCGCAGCCCGCCCCGUCCUGCAGGUGGUUCUGCUCACUGUGGCCUGGCCUGCCUCCGGAAAGAAUCCUGCAGGGUCAGUUGGGCUAAAAGCCUUCCUUAUCGUUGAUGUUUUCACUUGGAGAUUUUCCAUCCUCUGAGCCCCACACUGGUCCUUGGUUGCAAAUUGCCACAGACCCUUGUUCCCUCGACCUGCUGUGGAGUCGUGAGAAAAGCCUGUCUUACUGAGGGUGACAAGAGCCGCUGGAGGGUGCUUUCACGCUUCUUCUCUGAGGUCUAAGUCAGUAUCUGUGUUCCAGACAGUCAGUGCCGAAGGGUGGAAGGGGCCGUCACAGCCGCCCUUUCCCCCUAAUGUACUGAUCCCUUUCUUGCCUCUCUUGAGCGUCUGACGCAGCACGGUCAUGGUUGGCUUUGAACUGAUUCAAAACAUGGUCGGUCGUUUGGACCUCAAGGAAGAGCCAGAGGUUUACACAAGCCAAGUCCACCACAUAAGGUGGGUGAGGACAGGCUGUCAUGUCUUCUCGUGACCGUCUUCCUGAUGGGUGCCACUUGGCAGCCACAUUCACCGAAUUUUUGAUCAUGUCUCAUAAAGAAACACACACGAAACUUCCAAAACUGCUUCAGCAAGUAGCCAGAAUGAUGGGAUACGUGUGCACAAUCAGGAAGGGGUACAGGCUGAGUAUUUAGAGUGGUAUGGGUGGCAGUGUGUCUUUUAUUAUAAUAAAUCUUAAUCAAGAUGUUUGCUUUAUUGUGCCAAACACCCUUUUAUUUCCUUACGCAAACUUUAGUUUAUGGCCACACUUCUUUGUAGGAAGCUCCCAUAAUGCUUUCCUCCCUACGACUCUGCCCACGUAGGAAAUCUAGAAACUAUUUUUUGUUCUUGUUUUGGUUUGGUUUAUUUAGAUAGUCUUGCUGUAUAGUUCAGGAUGUCCUUGAAUAUGUGCCCCAGCUGGUCUGGGACUCUCAGCGAUCCUCCUGCCUCAGCUUCCCAAGUGCUGAGAUUACAGACGUCUAUAAACCACUGGAGACUAGGAGAAUGGGGAUUACGGCAGUUUCUGCCACGGCAGCUUCGGCACAGGGGCUGUCCCCACCCUGUCACUGCUCCGUUCCAUGAAUCCAGGAGCUCGGUUCAACACAUGGGACCUGCAGAAAUCUCUGGGAAAGGAAGAGCAGCUGAAAGAAAGCAGGCAGGUCGUGCAAAGAUUUCAAUCUGUCCCUUGAAAAGAGAAGGCUACUGUCCUGUGGAAAUACUGCGCAAAGACGGCCCACAGGCAGGUUUUAGAGAGGAUUACAGGAGAAACAAACGUGAGAGCAGAACACGGUCUUCCUGCGCACAGUUUUGGUGCCUAGAACACAACCCGAGGUGUAAGUAAGCACUGGGAAGUAUUGGCUGGAGGGAGGAGGGUGCGAUGGUGUGGCCGUGUGUUAAUAAGUGAGCCCACGCGUGUGGGAAUCAGCGGUGUGCAGCCUCGGCCCAGGCUGCCCCCUGCUCCUGUGCAGCGGGAUCCCUUGUUUAUACGAGAUGACAAGCAGCCUGCAAAGCAGCCGAGGGAGGGUGGCCGGGACUGCGGAGCCCUGCCCGGGUGGGGCUCACCAAUUGUCUGAUGGGCUGAGAGGGUUCAGAGAGUCUGGGCUCCCUGCCAGGCAAUGUCAGUGUGGAAGGUCCAUCCAUCGGUUCCCUUCCAGAAAGAGCCAUUUCCAGUCCAGCUCAGCUGUUCCCCAAGGGAGACAUCCAAGUCCCGUGGCUAGCAGGGCUGUGUCCUUCUCUAUCAGCGUGGCCUAGAAGGGCAGGGAGGACUGAAGGAGCCCAGCCAGUCCCUGGGAAAUGAGACUUCAUUUCUAAGGUCGCACACACACUUGGGUAGCUUUUCAAUGGCGCAUUCCAUGCACAGAACAUCUAUGCAAACUAGGAAAUCAGUAAAAAUUAUAAAAUUACAAUUACACGUAUGAGAAAAAGGAAAGUGCCAGGGCAAGGGGUUGCAGCAGGCAGAGCUGAGGGAGGAAACAGAUGGGACUGAAAGCCAAAGCCAGGACCAGAGUGCAAGGCAAGAGCCCGGUGAGCGGCUAGGUGGGGAAGGAGAGAGGGAGAUGUCCUUGGGGACUGGAAAUCGUGGGUGAGGGUGUGGGGUCGCACACAACUGUGCUUCACCCACAUUGAAAGCCACAGUACCUCACUCAGGAGGUCUGCAAGGACCGAGUCUUAGAAAACGAGCUGGUGCCGGGAGGCUAAGGAGAUGAGGAGCCGAGGAGCCAUCUCUAUGGUUCCCAAACCCGGCUGCGUUUGGUGCUGCCUGUGAUGAAGACUCUUUGGCCAAACCUGAGUCGUGAACCCUUUGCCUUCCUUCUGUCUACAUCCCUCCUUGAGCUCUACAUUUAGCUUAUUUUGGUUUGAACGGGAAUCCUGCCAAGUGAGUUCAGGGAAAAUAUCCCCCCCCCUUGCUAUCCGUGCCCUGUGAAUAUCUGAUUAAAUGUCUUCCUCCCCCGCUCCGUGUCUCAUCCUGCUGACCUGCCUUCAGGAAGCAAGAACUCUGCUGAGCCAGCACAAAAAGAUACAUCAAGAUGUGGACAAAAGGGAAUCCUUGGUAGGAAUGUAAAUUGGGCUAGCCAUUACAGAAUGGACUAUCAAAAACCUCAAAAAAUUAGAGGCUUCUCAAAAAAUUAGAAACAGGACUGCCAUGGGAUCCAGCCAUCCUAUUCAGUAUCAUUUGCAACAACAUAGAUGGAAUAAAAUAAAACAAGCCAGACACAUAAAAGCAGGUAUGAUCUAAUCUCACUCACGUGCGGAAUCUAAAGUAGUCACAAGCAGAAGCAGAGUGGAAUGGUGUGUGUCCCUGGUUCAGCGGGCAGGAGAAAUGGAAAGGGUAAACUUAAAUUUCAGUUAUACAAGAUGCAUAAGUUACGGAGAUGCAGUGUACGAUAUAGUGCCUAUGGCUAAAAGUGUUAUAUUAUGGACUUACAAUCUUCUGACCAAGAAGCUUGGUAAGAACACCACUGAAUGUUCCUAACACACACAGAUAAUCAUAAAAUAGGCAGAAAGAAACUCGAGCAGUAAAUGGAUAAGUGUAUACCCCUAAUGGGUGAUAGUUCCCAGGGUAUGCCUACCCACCAAUGCCCUGAGUUGCAUACCUUAAAUAUGCGGAGAGUCUCAUGUCCACGCUACCACAAUAAAAUGAUUUAAGAAUCUUCUUGAGCUGAUCCAGCAAGAGUCCCCUUAGCUUCCGCCCUUCCUCUUGGGAGUUUCCCGUCCACCGGCCCCGCCCUGCUCCCCAGCUCUCCGUUCCCAGUCCAGGCGUUCUCAGGUUAACAGCACAGCAGAGCUGAGCACUCUCCCCUCCUGCAGCGCGCUCUGCAUGGCUGCUCCUGAACCGUCUUCCUCACCGUCUUCAGCAAGCGUCACCAGUACCGUUUCCUCACCACCACUGUACGAUGCCUGACCUAACCCCAGCCCGAGAAGCCCUCCACAGUCCAGGUCAGGGGCAGCUUCCUUUCACCCGUGGAGGAAUGAAAAGCUGUGAUCCAGACCCCUGGAGAGGGUCCUCACCACCAGACGCCCUUCCCUGGCUGAGAUCCGAUGGAGGGCUGGUCGCUGCCUCGACCUCUGGGUGCUGGCUGCAGCUCGCCUUGAGAGAGCACAGGGGUGGUGGGGAAUCAGGGGGACUUCUCUGUCCCAACGCUUUGUGUUACACUUUGGGUAGAAAGUUUCCUAAGAUGUGUUUACAUUGAGAUUGGCUUAUUGGGCGCUGUACGUGUCACUGGAUUCAUGCAUGGAGGAGCUCAGAGCUGUGUGUGCUGAGAACAGAUGGAGCCUGGUUGGCGGUGGUCACUGGGGUGUGGGCAGAAAGGGGUCUUAUCCCUGGCUCCUUCCCCGCCCCCUGCUUCCUGGCUGCCGUGUAUUGAGUGCUUUUCCCUCUGCCAGCUCCUUCUGCCAUCCUGUUUCUCCCUGGAGCCAACCAUGGGCUGAAACCGUGAGCCACAAUAAACCUCUCCUCUGUUAA